rnacentral:lncRNA from 1 species
CUUCUUUUUUUGUGGGGGGGGGAGAUACGUUUCAAUCAUUUGAUUUUGAUUUUCUUUUUUUUUAACACGAAGGCUCCUCCAGAGCCGGCCGUGUUGGAAAGGAAAUCUGUCCCGGUCGCUGCAAGUCGUCCUGUCUGCCCAGUGAAUAUGCAGUUCUCUCAUAUAAAUGCGAUCAUCCUGACCAUGUCUUCUGCUGCAAACAUUCAGAAAAUUCCCCAUUCAAAGCUGAGCAAAUAGCCUGUUGGGGUACAUGCCGGAAAGCCUGCUUACCUGGUGAAUAUCUGGCUUCAAGAACAGCCUGCCUUAGCAAGGACAAUGUCUUCUGUUGUACAGAGAAAGGUAAUGAUUCCUUUCUAUGCAUUUAUAUGCAAAUCAUGAUUUAUGGUGGAGGGCAAUUAUUCAUGAGACAUUUUAUAUAUAACCAAAUAUCUAACUAAAAUUUAAAAUUGAAAAGGAACAUUAGUGCUUUGAAAUGAAACGGCAAAAUGUGAACCUCCCCAUUUCAGUAUCUUACUACUUAUGCUGUCCAGUGAAAGCCCAAUGGCAUAAAUAUGCUGCCGGUUAAGAAUUCAGCACAUGUGUAUCUUGUUAUAGACCAGUUACAUGACUUGGGGCACAACAAUGAAAAACACUGAACUGAGAAAAAUCUCAUGCUAUGACAAUCAGAUGUCUUUCACCAGUGAUUGAGCACCACUUCUAGAUACGUGCUAAACAGAGAGUCUAGUGGGCGAUCACUUUUCACAUUGCACUUUAUCUCUUCAUACAUGUCCUUGCAGAAUGUAAAAAAGGCCAGUAAUAUCCUUUAGUAUGUAAUUAUAUAUAAGCAGUUGAUUAUAUAUGAUUUUAUUCAUCUUCUCUGUGUUGUAGGCACUGGAAAAUGAUAUUAUGAAAUUGUACCAGUCCCUUUGUUGAUGAUGCAUGCUUUUGUUAGCAUCUGAAAUGCAACCGAAAUGUGAAGAACAUCGUGGAAGAAGCUUUGGAACUGCUUUAAAAACCUUUAAAAAGCUGAGACUCCCAUGUCUUAUAAUUUUUUCACUUCUAAUAAAAUAAGACAUACAAAAUAUAUAAACA